rnacentral:RNase_MRP_RNA from 1 species
CGGUGAUGGGAAGUGGGGCAGUUGCAGCGACACAACGGUCCUUUCUGUGACCGCACCGGUACAGUCUGUAGGCGAAAGUCCCUGAACCAGCGGCUGAAAGAGUCGACCCUCAGAGUGGGUCCACCCGGGCGCGUGCAUGGAUGAGAGUGAUGAGGUCCGAGUGACCGAACUGCUUCCGCGUAGUUGCUCGGCGUUCGUUGUCAGCAAAGUGACGUCUCAGGUUGGAACAGCACAGGGCUUACUCUCACCCGAUCACC